UACGUAGGGGGCGAGCGUUGUCCGGAUUUAUUGGGCGUAAAGAGCGUGUAGGCGGCCAGGUAGGUCCGUUGUGAAAACUCGAGGCUCAACCUCGAGACGUCGAUGGAAACCAUCUGGCUAGAGUCCGGAAGAGGAGAGUGGAAUUCCUGGUGUAGCGGUGAAAUGCGCAGAUAUCGGGAGGAACACCAAUGGCGAAGGCAGCUCGCUGGGACGGUACUGACGCUGAGGUGCGAAAGCGUGGGGAGCAAACAGG
rnacentral:rRNA from 1 species